rnacentral:rRNA from 1 species
GAAAUCAGUUCAGCACUAAGUCACUUUGUCUAUAUGGCAAAUGUGAGAUGCAGUGUAUGGAACAUCAAUAUUCUAGUAUGAGAAAUUAACGAUUUAAGUCCUUCUUAAAUGAGGCCAUUUACCCAUAGAGGGUGCCAGGCCCGUAUAACGUUAAUGAUUAUUAGAUGGUGUUUCCAAAGAGUCGUGUUGCUUGAUAGUGCAGCACUAAGUGGGUGGUAAACUCCAUCUAAAACUAAAUAUAACCAUGAGACCGAUAGUAAACAAGUACCGUGAGGGAAAGUUGAAAAGAACUCUGAAUAGAGAGUUAAAUAGUACGUGAAACUGCUUAGAGGUUAAGCCCGAUGAACCUGAAUAUCCGUUAUGGAAAAUUCAUCAUUAGACUUGUAAUAUUUAAACAAUAUUAUAAAAAUAGUGUGCAUUUUUUCCAUAUAAGGACAUUGUAAUCUAUUAGUUAAAAGUAAUUUAUCAAAAAAUUUUAGAUAAAUGUUUAUUUAAAUUAAGGUGCUUGCAUUUUAACACAAAAUAAAUGUCUUUAAUUUGAUAAAGUGCUGAUAGAUUUAUAUGAAUACAGUGCGUUAAUUUUUCGGAAUUAUAUAAUGGCAUGAUUAUCAUUGAUUUUUGUGUUUAUUAUAUGCACUUGUAUGAUUAACAAUGCGAAAGA